GUAGUAUUCCCUCCGUCCCAAAAUUCUUGUCUUACAUUUGUUUAGAUACGGAUUAUCUAACACUAAAAUGUAACUAGAUACAUCCGUAUUUAGACAAAUUUAAGACAAGAAUUUUGGGACGGAGGGAGUACAAA
rfam:Triticum aestivum genome assembly, contig: Triticum_aestivum_CS42_TGACv1_scaffold_577496_7BL